GUCCACGCCCUAAAACGAUGUCAACUAGGUGUUGGAAGGGUUAAACCUUUUAGUGCCGUAGCUAACGCGUGAAGUUGACCGCCUGGGGAGUACGGCCGCAAGGCUAAAAACUCAAAGGAAUUGACGGGGACCCGCACAAGCGGUGGAUGAUGUGGAUUAAUUCGAUGCAACGCGAAAAACCUUACCUACCCUUGACAUGUCAGGAAUCCCGAAGAGAUUUGGGAGUGCUCGAAAGAGAGCCUGAACACAGGUGCUGCAUGGCUGUCGU
rnacentral:rRNA from 1 species